CCUGUAAUCCCAGCUGCUCUGGAGGCUGAAACAGGAGAAUCGCUUGAAGCAAGGAGUUGAAGUUGCAGUGAGCCAAGAUCGCACCACUGCACUCCAGCCUGGGUGACAGAGUGAGACUCUGUCUCAAAAAAAUAAAAAUAAAAAUAAAAAUAAAAUAAUAGGGAGCUAGGGGUGACAGCUCAUGCCUGUAAUCCCAGCUACUCAGGAAACUAAGGUAAGAGGGUCAUUUGAGGCUAGGGAUUUAAGACCAGCCUGGACAACAACGUUGCAAGACCCCAUU